rnacentral:tRNA from 1 species
GCCCGUAUACUGUAGUGGUUUGAGCAUUGGACUAUGACUCUAGAGUCCAGGGUUCAAAUCCAUGCUCAGCCC